rnacentral:tRNA from 2 species
AAGGGAAUGGUGAUCCUGAAAGAAGCUGCUAACUAUCUUUCAAAGCGGUUUAAUUCCGUUUAUCCCUUA